rnacentral:rRNA from 1 species
UACGAAGGGGGCUAGCGUUGUUCGGAUUUACUGGGCGUAAAGCGCACGUAGGCGGAUCUUUAAGUCAGGGGUGAAAUCCCGAGGCUCAACCUCGGAACUGCCUUUGAUACUGGAGAUCUUGAGUUCGGGAGAGGUGAGUGGAACUGCGAGUGUAGAGGUGAAAUUCGUAGAUAUUCGCAAGAACACCAGUGGCGAAGGCGGCUCACUGGCCCGAUACUGACGCUGAGGUGCGAAAGCGUGGGGAGCAAACA